CUGUUUCUGCUAUCGUAGUUGC
rnacentral:siRNA from 1 species